rnacentral:lncRNA from 1 species
GCCUUUGACAGGGCGGACAGGACAAGCGCCGGGGACUCUGCAAAGCAGGCAAUGGUGUGGGGCCCAGGUCAGCGGCUACCUUGAGUGGUCACCCGACAGGCCACAGGUUCACAGAUGCAAAAAGAAAAAGUUAAGUUAAUAAGUUCAUAGCGAAAUUAAUCUCCUGAGGGUAGCAGAGCUGCAGGCGUGGGAAGGCAAGGCCCGUGCCAGGUCUGCUCCGUCGUGCGGAUCACCACGGCGGACUUGAAAACCUGCCCUCUGGUCCUGCACAGCCUGCACAGGAGACAGGUGACAGGAUCAGAAGCCAUGAGACGGCCGUCCGGUGACUUGUAAGUCUGGAAACUUCAUUCCUUUCUUUUUGUCUAUCCUGCCUGGUUUUCCUUCUUCUUCACAAACCUGAGGAAUGUGUGUCAAAAUCCUGUGGAGCCGGGAGAGGUGGGUCACGCCCGGAAUCCCAGCUCCUGGAGAGGCAGAGGUCAGGAGGACCGCGACUGGAGGCCAGCUCAGGUGCGGGUGGCCAUGGCUGUCCCUGUCCCUGUCCCUGUGCUGUCUUCUUGGGGACACUCAGGGGACGUUGGUGACGCAGAACUCCAGGCCCAACAUCGUGGUGCUGAUGGCCGAUGACCUCGGGGUGGGCGACCUGUGCUGCUAUGGAAACAAGAGCGUCAGGUAAGAGCAGGGGACGCCAUGUCCAGCCGUGGGGGGAC